UGGCGAACGGGUGAGUAACGCGUGAGGAACCUGCCUCAUACAGGGGGAUAACAGUUAGAAAUGACUGCUAAUACCGCAUAAGACCACAGUACCGCAUGGUACAGGGGUAAAAACUCCGGUGGUAUGAGAUGGACCCGCGUCUGAUUAGGUAGUUGGUGGGGUGACGGCCUACCAAGCCGACGAUCAGUAGCCGACCUGAGAGGGUGACCGGCCACAUUGGGACUGAGACACGGCCCAG
rnacentral:rRNA from 1 species